rnacentral:rRNA from 1 species
CCUACGGGGCGCAGCAGUGGGGAAUAUUGCACAAUGGGGGAAACCCUGAUGCAGCGACGCCGCGUGAGCGAUGAAGUAUUUCGGUAUGUAAAGCUCUAUCAGCAGGGAAGAAAAUGACGGUACCUGACUAAGAAGCCCCGGCUAACUACGUGCCAGCAGCCGCGGUAAUACGUAGGGGGCAAGCGUUAUCCGGAUUUACUGGGUGUAAAGGGAGCGUAGACGGCUCUGCAAGCCAGAUGUGAAAGCCCGGGGCUCAACCCCGGGACUGCAUUUGGAACUGUGUGGCUAGAGUGUCGGAAAGGCAG